rnacentral:lncRNA from 1 species
UUCAUUCGUUUUAAUAUCUUAGUUUAUUAGGAAUUUAUUAAUAUAUUUAAAUGAGUAAAAUAUCUUAAUAAACGUAGAAAGAACGUCAGCAGUUUUCGAUGCAAAAUAUAUGUAUUAACAGGUUAGUAAUCUCAAAAUAUUUCUGAUAGAUUCGAUUCUAGAAAUGGUAUCGAUAGAUUCCGAUGCAGUAAACACGUCAGUAGAUUCGAAUGUAGAAUGAGAUCGAUAGAUGCGAAACUUGAAAUAGCAUAAAUACGAAUCGAAUGUAGAAAACAGAGAAAGAAUCGAAUGUAACAAUUCCUCAGUAGAUUCCAAAGAAAAAUCGAACAUAAAUACGAAUCGAAUGUGGAAAAACAGCGAAAGAAUCGAAUGUAACAAUUCCUCAGUAGAUUUCAAAGAAAAAUCGAGCAUCAACAUUCGGAUCAAAGAUAUAAAAUUCGAAUCUAUAUACGUAUUCUGACAAUAGUAUCAAUUGUUAUAAAGCAUCACUAGAAUCGAAUACUUAUAACAAAGCAUCAGUACACUGAAUAUAAAAAUUUUCAUCGAGAUUCGAACUAGAGAUUAGAUAUAGAAUCAUUAAUAGAUAUCGAUGCAACAAAUCUAUAGAAUCGAAUGCAACAAAAGUAUCGAGAUUCGAACAUCAACAGAAUUGAAUAUAACAAUGUAUCGAGAACAUAAUCGAGAAAAUCGAAAACUGAGUUUGUCGAUUAUGUUCGAACUCUCGAUACUCGGUGAUAAUCGAGAUUCGAAUUUCAGAAACAGUAUCAAUAGAAUCAAAUGCAACAAAACAUAAAGAAAUUUGAAUAUAAAAAAGCAUCCAUAGAAUCGAAUGUAGCAAAUCAGCGAGAUUCGAACUUAGAAAUAUCAUUAACAGUAUUGAAUGUAACAAAGUAUCGAAAAAAUCGAAUAUUAAAUUGAUAAUCGAGAUUCGAAUCCAAACAGCAACGGAUCUGAACCUAGAAACAAUUAUUGAUAGAAUCGAAUGCAGCAAACAGAUUUAAAUAUAGCAAAACAUUCACGGAAUCGCGAACAAAGCAUAGAUAGGUUCGAAUAUAAAACGAGUAUCGAUAAUCGAAUCUAAAACAACAAAGAUUUAAAUUAAAAGGGCAUUAAUAGUAUGUCUUAAAAGUACAGAAUUACAUCAAUAGUAUCUAUAUACCCAAAUGUAAAAUUUGUUAGAUAUAUACCCCACUAUUUUGGCUUCUACGACAAUUAGUAAUCUUUAUUGAAACAUGUAAGUAGAGUCGGAUGUGCUCCUUUCCUUUUGGAACCUCUACCUAUUUUUAGAGUUUAUUUACUGCCAAAAAUAAGAGAUGUGUAUCUUUUACUUUAUUUUGGUAUGAAAGUUUUAUAUAAAAUAGAUUAAAAAAUAUUAUAAAUAAAUGUUGAGUUUAUCACUUCCAAAUUUUUAAAUUAUUCCUUAA